rnacentral:rRNA from 1 species
GACGAACGCUGGCGGCGUGCUUAACACAUGCAAGUCGAACGGAAAGGCCCUGCUUUUGUGGGGUGCUCGAGUGGCGAACGGGUGAGUAACACGUGAGUAACCUGCCCUUGACUUUGGGAUAACUUCAGGAAACUGGGGCUAAUACCGGAUAGGAGCUCCUGCUGCAUGGUGGGGGUUGGAAAGUUUCGGCGGUUGGGGAUGGACUCGCGGCUUAUCAGCUUGUUGGUGGGGUAGUGGCUUACCAAGGCUUUGACGGGUAGCCGGCCUGAGAGGGUGACCGGCCACAUUGGGACUGGGAUGCGGCACGGACUACUCCGGGAGGCAGCAGUGGGGAAUAUUGCACAAUGGGCGGAAGCAUGAUGCAGCAACGCAGCGUGCGGGAUGACGGCAUUCGGGUUGUAAACCGCUUUCGCCUGUGACGAAGCGUGAGUGACGGUAAUGGGUAAAGAAGCACCGGCUAACUACGUG